CCUACGGGAGGCAGCAGUGAGGAAUAUUGGUCAAUGGACGAGAGUCUGAACCAGCCAAGUAGCGUGAAGGAUGACUGCCCUAUGGGUUGUAAACUUCUUUUAUAUGGGAAUAAAAUGUUCCACGUGUGGGAUUUUGUAUGCCCCAUAUGAAUAAGGAUCGGCUAACUACGUGCCAGCAGCCGCGGUAAUACGGAGGAUCCGAGCGUUAUCCGGAUUUAUUGGGUUUAAAGGGAGCGUAGGUGGAUUGAUAAGUCUGUUGUGAAAGUUUGCGGCUCAACCGUAAAAUUGCAGUUGAAACUGGCAGUCUGGAGUACAGUAGAGGUGAGCGGAAUUCGUGGUGUAGCGGUGAAAUGCUUAGAUAUCACGAAGAACUCCAGUUGCGAAGGCAGCUCACUGGACUGCAACUGACACUGAGGCUCGAAAGUGUGGGUAUCAAACAGGAUUAGAUACCCCUGUAGUC
rnacentral:rRNA from 1 species